AACGAACGCUGGCGGCAGGCUUAACACAUGCAAGUCGAGCGCCCCGCAAGGGGAGCGUCAGACGGGUGAGUAACGCGUGGGCACGUACCUUUUGGUUCGGAACAACUCCGGGAAACUGGAGCUAAUACCGGAUAAGCCCUAACGGGGAAAGAUGUAUCGCAGAAAGAUCGGCCCGCGUCUGAUUAGCUAGUUGGUGCGGUAACGGCUCACCAAGGCGACGAUCAGUAGCUGGUCUGAGAGGAUGAUCAGCCACACUGGGACUGAGACACGGCCCAGACUCCUACGGGAGGCAGCAGUGGGGAAUAUUGGACAAUGGGCGCAAGCCUGAUCCAGCCAUGCCGCGUGAGUGAUGAAGGCCUUAGGGUUGUAAAGCUCUUUUGUCCGGGAAGAUAAUGACUGUACCGGAAGAAUAAGCCCCGGCUAACUUCGUG
rnacentral:rRNA from 1 species